UACUUUUUAAAAUAAUGAGAUUCUAGGCCCAAAACUUUUGCCGUUAAAAAAAAAGUUU
rnacentral:tRNA from 1 species